GGUUACUUUUCUGAAGCCUCCAUCGCAGCUGAUGCGGAGUGCUGACGUGGAGGAGACUAGGGUGCCUUGGUGGUGGGAUCCUCUGAGUGUACACACCUGCCUUGUUUAAUUUAUUAGUG